AUUGAACGCUGGCGGCAGGCCUAACACAUGCAAGUCGAACGGUAACAGGAAACAGCUUGCUGUUUCGCUGACGAGUGGCGGACGGGUGAGUAAUGUCUGGGAAACUGCCUGAUGGAGGGGGAUAACUACUGGAAACGGUAGCUAAUACCGCAUAACGUCGCAAGACCAAAGAGGGGGACCUUCGGGCCUCUUGCCAUCGGAUGUGCCCAGAUGGGAUUAGCUAGUAGGUGGGGUAACGGCUCACCUAGGCGACGAUCCCUAGCUGGUCUGAGAGGAUGACCAGCCACACUGGAACUGAGACACGGUCCAGACUCCUACGGGAGGCAGCAGUGGGGAAUAUUGCACAAUGGGCGCAAGCCUGAUGCAGCCAUGCCGCGUGUAUGAAGAAGGCCUUCGGGUUGUAAAGUACUUUCAGCGGGGAGGAAGGGAGUAAAGUUAAUACCUUUACUCAUGGACGUUACCCGCAGAAGAAGCACCGGCUAACUCCGU
rnacentral:rRNA from 1 species